UCAAACUUGGUCAUUUAGAGGAAGUAAAAGUCGUAACAAGGUUUCCGUAGGUGAGUAAUCGAAAACACCCCCCAAACUACCCCCUGAAAAUACCAUAUACUAACUCGCGAUACUAGGUGAACCUGCGGAAGGAUCAUUACUGGGUAAAAAGGGUCUUCGGACCCGCCAACCCGCCCUCUGUCAUUUGUACUGUUUUGUUUCGGCUUUGGUGGGCACCCCUCUAAAUUUUAGCAGGUGGCAGCCGCCGGGCCGGCAUUGCAAACCCGUGGGAAAUUCUGAAGUCUGAACAUUUUUAUGAAAAUAAAAAGAAAAACUUUCAACAACGGAUCUCUUGGUUCUGGCAUCGAUGAAGAACGCAGC
rnacentral:misc_RNA from 1 species